rnacentral:rRNA from 1 species
UACAGAGGUCCCAAGCGUUGUUCGGAUUCACUGGGCGUAAAGGGUGCGUAGGUGGCGGGGUAAGUCUGAUGUGAAAUCUCCGAGCUUAACUCGGAAACUGCAUCGGAUACUGCCUUGCUCGAGGGUUGGAGGGGGGACUGGAAUACUUGGUGUAGCAGUGAAAUGCGUAGAUAUCAAGUGGAACACCAGUGGCGAAGGCGGUUACCUGGAAGAUUCCUGACUCUGAAACACGAAAGCCAGGGGAGCAAACGGG